AUGGCAGGCAUUUACUACAUGACAUGUACUUUCAUUACUGAUAAAAGCAAUGUGGCAACUGAAAAAUUAAGCUUAAGAGUUUUUGUUGCAGAAAUAAAGUAAAAAGGUAAACUUAAAGGUAAAGUAAAAUGGAAACUUUGGACAGUUAUAAAAGUCACUUAAGACUUCAGUUAUUUUAAAAGCGGCCUUAACAGGGUCCUCCCUGAUUUUGGGGACGUGAGUUCCCAGAGAAUGGGGCUCCGUGCGCAAGGGCAGACUGGGCAGGAGAUGCCAUAGGCCCCACCCCUUGGGGAGGGGCAUGGCGGAUACUUCCUCAGCCAGAGCUUGGAACAGACUCAAGGCCAGCAAAAUGAGUUCAGUGGCUGAGGUGAGGUACCCUGGUUGGGGGCCUCAUAACCCAAUUCAGUCUACUCUCCCCCGCCCAU
rnacentral:lncRNA from 1 species